AGCGAACGUUUGCGGCGGGCCUAACACAUGCAAGUCGAACGCACUAGCAAUAGUGAGUGGCGCACGGGUGCGUAACACGUGGGUAAUCAACCCUUCAGCCUGGGAUAACGACUCGAAAGGGUCGCUAAUACCGGAUACGGCGCGAGAGGCUUCGGCUUCUCACGAGAAAGCCACGCAAGGGGCACUGAAGGACGAGCCUGCGGCCCAUCAGCUAGUUGGUGAGGUAAGAGCUCGCCAAGGCUAAGACGGGUAGCUGGUCUGAGAGGAUGAUCAGCCACACUGGAACUGAGACACGGUCCAGACUCCUACGGGAGGCAGCAGUGGGGAAUAUUGCGCAAUGGGCGAAAGCCUGACGCAGCCACGCCGCGUGAGCGAU
rnacentral:rRNA from 1 species